rnacentral:rRNA from 1 species
UACGUAGGUGGCAAGCGUUGUCCGGAUUUACUGGGCGUAAAGAGCGCGCAGGCGGCUGGCCAAGUCCGAUGUGAAAUCUCCCGGCUUAACUGGGAAACUGCAUCGGAAACUGACCGGCUUGAAGGUGGGAGAGGGUAGUGGAAUUCCCGGUGUAGUGGUGGAAAUGCGUAGAUAUCGGGAGAACACCAGUGGCGAAGCGACUACCUGGCCCAUCUGACGCUGAGGCGCGAAGCUAGGGAGCGAACGG